rnacentral:rRNA from 1 species
GUCUACAGCCAUGCCACCCUGAACAAGCCCGAUCCCGUCUGAUCUUGGAAGCUAAGCAGGGUCGGGCCUGGUUAGUAGUUGGAUGGGAGACCACCUAGGAAGACCAGGUGCUGUAGGCG